CAAGGCUCCCUAACCCUGGUUCUCAGCCUGGAGGGAGGUGACAGAGAGGGUGCAGUGAGCCUGGGUGCCGGGAGUGGGGCCAUUGCACCCUGGGAGAGUGGUUGUCAACCACAGAGCAAGGAGACCACAAGGGUUGUCACUUGUGAUAAGGGUGCAGGUGACCUAUGUGUGCUGGGGCAUUGUCGGGUGCAAAUAACCAACAGGAAACAGUUCUUGGUUUUUCGUUUUUGUUUUUUUUUUUUUUUUUUUUUUUUUUUAAAGAGCCUCACUAUGUGGCCAGGGAUAGCUUUGAACUCUUUUGUUGUUGUUAAGUAAUUUUUAAUGUGUGCGUGUGUGUGUAAAGUGUGCCACAGCACAAGUGAAGGUUGGAAAACAACUUGCGGAUCAGCUCUCUCCUUCUGCCGUUUGGGACCAGGAAUGGAACUCAAAUCCUCAGGCAUUGCAGCAAGUGCCUUUACCCACUAGGCUAUGCCACCAGCCCAGCCCAGCCCUGAAUGCUUGGCUUCCUGCUUUGGUUUUCCAAGUACUAGGAAUACCAGCAUCAGCCAUCAUACUGGCUUUUGAUAGCUACAGCACCAAGCAUACAUACAUCCACCCCCAACACACACACACACUUUGAUCCCAGCCCUCGAGAGGCAGAGGCAGGUGGAUCUCUGUGAGCUCAAGGCCAGCCUGGUCUACAGAGUGAGUUCCAGGACAGCCAGAGCUACGUAGAGAAGCCUUGCCUCAAAAAAAAAAAAAAAAAAAAAAAAACACAUGAGAGCCUGGAGCCUGGAGAGAUGGCUCAGAGUUAAAAGCCCUGACUGCUCUACCAGAGAACUCAGGUUCAAUUCCCAGCACCCACAUGGCAGCUCACAGCUGUCUGUAACUCCAGUUCCAGGCCAUUCAACACCCUCACUCACACAUAGAUGUAGACAAAAAAACUCAUGCAUAUAAAAUAAAAAAUUAAAACCCAAGUAAUUAAUCAAUUAAAUUUCUUAAAGAUUAAAAAACUACAUGUUUAUGUCUACCAAAUUCUGCCAAGUGCCUAUGGUGCCCACAAGGCCAGCAGAAGGAGGGCACUGGAUCCUCUGGAGCCGGAGUUACAGGGGUUGUGACCCACAUGACAUAGGGUGAGAGAUUCCUUAACUGCUGAGCCAUCUCUCACCCUCUCCCAUUACUUAUUAAAAAAAGUUUUUCAAAUUAAAAUCUAAUUACAGUAUUUCCCUCCUUUCCUCCAUCCAACUCUGUCUAUAUAACCCCCAUACCUACUCCCUCCCAAAUUCAAGUUUCAUGUUCCUGUUACACACACCUGCACACAUGCACACAGGCAUAAACAUACGAGUACAACCUGCUCAGUCAUUUUAAUAUUAAGCUUCUUUGGCUUUUAAAUGUAACUGCCGGGCCGGCGGUAGUGUCUUACGCCUGCCUUUAAUCCCAGGACUUGGGAGGCAGAGACAGGUGAGUUUGAGCCUAGCCUGGUCACAGAGAAACCCUGUCUCAAAAAACAAACAAAACAAAACAAAAGUGGCUGCUGGGCCAGGAAGAUGGUUCAGCAGAAAGGGGAACUUGUAGUUCCAUCCCUAGAACCCACAUGGUGGGAGGAGAGAAGCAGCUUGCCCAUGGCUGUCUGGCCUCUGUGCGUGUAUACCAGUGCUUGCUCAUGGCUGUCUGGCCUCUGUGCGUGUAUACCAGAGCUUGCCCACGGCUGUCUGGCUUCCAUGUGUGUAUACCAAUGAAGUUUUUCAUGUAAAGACUUAAAGGUACAGACAGUGUGGAGCAGCGAUGGUACUGUAAGCCUGUGAUCCUAGCGCUCAGGAAGCUUAGGCUGGAGGAGGGUGGCAACCAGACCAGUCUGGGUUAUAUAUGGAGACUGUAUCUGAAGAAACGAGAAAACAAAUCACAGCGUGGCUAAAGGUGUAUUUGACAAUAUAUUUAUAUUGGGCAGCACUUUGCAGGUCUAAGCUGGUGGGGCAACUCAGAUUGGAUCUCUGGGAGCUCUGGGGCUCACUCUGGGCCAGUAGGAGACCUUGUCUCAGAGGAGGUGGGCUGUGUUCAUGAGAAAGCCACCUAAGGCAGUACCCCAGUCUCCAGGUGUGUGCCCAGGCAUAACAUCUGCAUCACACACAGGUGUGCACACAGGCAUAGCCUCUGCAUCACACACAGGCAUAACAUCUGCAUCGCACACAGGUGUGCACACAGGCAUAACAUCUGCAUCGCACACAGGUGUGCACACAGGCAUAACCUCUGCAUCACACACAGGCAUGCACACAGGCAUAACCUCUGCAUCACACACAGGCAUAACAUCUGCAUCGCACACAGGUGUGCACACAGGCAUAACAUCUGCAUCACACACAGGCAUGCACACAGCUAUAGCCUCUGCAUCACACAGGUGUGCAUACAGACAUAACCUCUGCAUCACACAGGUGUGCACACAGGCAUAACAUCUUUAUCACACUCAGGCACUGGAAACAGAUGUUUCCAUUCUUAUUUGGUCCCUUCCUUUACAUCGAGGAGGAAGCCCUGACUCAGGGUGUCUUGAUUAUCACUUGCUGAUUUGUAUGUCUUACAUAGAACAAGCCCCAGACCACACACUCAAGGCAGACUACAAAUUUUUGUUUGUUUUGAUUUUUCCUUUUUUUUUUAAAGAUUAACAUUUUUUUUUAGAUUUUAUUUAUUUAUUAUGUCUACAGGCUUCGUGCCUACAUGCCAGAAGAAGGCACCAGAUCUCAUUGUAGAUGGUUAUGAGCCAUGUGGUUGCUGGGAAUUGAACUCAGGACCUCUGGAAGAGCAACCAAUGUUCUUAACCUCUGAGCCAUCUCUCCAGCCCUGUUUUGGUUUUUCAAGACAGGGUUUCUCUGUGUAACCCUGGCUGUCCUGUAAUUUGCUCUGUAGACCAGUCUGGCCUUGAACUCACAGAGAUCCACCUGCCUAUGCCGCCUUUAGUGCUGGGACUAAAGGUGUGAGCCACCACCACCACGCUCAACAAGUUUUAAUAGCGCUGUUUAGGGAAUGAAUUGGGAGCAACCCAAUUCUUAUGAAUGCAUACAAACUGCAGUAUGUCCAUACAAUGGCAUAUUGUUCCACCUUAAAGAACAAAGCCUCGUUCACACCCUUCCUCAGUCUCUGCAGUGCUGGGAUAACAGGUGUGAGCUGACUCCGAAAGCCACCACUUACCUGACAAAUGGACUCAGUUUUAAAAUGGCUAAUCUUAUUUAAAUUCCAUUCCAAUUUUUUUUUU